GAUGAACGCUGGCGGCGUGCCUAAUACAUGCAAGUCGAGCGAACAGACGAGGAGCUUGCUCCUCUGACGUUAGCGGCGGACGGGUGAGUAACACGUGGAUAACCUACCUAUAAGACUGGGAUAACUUCGGGAAACCGGAGCUAAUACCGGAUAAUAUAUUGAACCGCAUGGUUCAAUAGUGAAAGACGGUUUUGCUGUCACUUAUAGAUGGAUCCGCGCUGCAUUAGCUAGUUGGUAAGGUAACGGCUUACCAAGGCGACGAUGCGUAGCCGACCUGAGAGGGUGAUCGGCCACACUGGAACUGAGACACGGUCCAGACUCCUACGGGAGGCAGCAGUAGGGAAUAUUCCGCAAUGGGCGAAAGCCUGACGGAGCAACGCCGCGUGAGUGAUGAAGGUCUUCGGAUCGUAAAACUCUGUUAUUAGGGAAGAACAAAUGUGUAAGUAACUAUGCACGUCUUGACGGUACCUAAUCAGAAAGCCACGGCUAACUACGUG
rnacentral:rRNA from 1 species